AGAGUUUGAUCCUGGCUCAGGACGAACGCUGGCGGCGCGCUUAACACAUGCAAGUCGAGCGAGAACCGGGGCUUCGGCCCCGGGGACAGCGGCGAACGGGUGAGUAACACGUGGGUAAUCCACCCUCGGCACCGGGAUAGCCCGGGGAAACCCGGAUUAAUACCGGAUGGCCCUUCCGCCCUUCGGGGCGGUCGGAAAAGGUAGCUCCGGCCUCCGGCCGAGGACGAGCCCGCGGCGGAUUAGCUUGUUGGUGGGGUAACGGCCUACCAAGGCUCCGAUCCGUAGCUGGUCUGAGAGGACGAUCAGCCACACUGGGACUGAGACACGGCCCAGACUCCUACGGGAGGCAGCAGUGGGGAAUCUUGCCCAAUGGGCGCAAGCCUGAGGCAGCGACGCCGCGUGAGGGAAGAAGGCCUUCGGGUUGUAAACCUCUUUCAGGAGGGACGAAGCCACUCGGGUUAAUAGCCCAGAGGGUGACGGUACCUCCAGAAGAAGCCCCGGCUAACUACGUGCCAGCAGCCGCGGUAAUACGUAGGGGGCAAGCGUUGUCCGGAUUUACUGGGCGUAAAGAGCGUGUAGGCGGCCACGCAGGUCUGUUGUGAAAACUGGAGGCUUAACCUCCAGACGUCGACAGAAACCGUGUGGCUAGAGUCCGGAAGAGGAGAGUGGAAUUCCUGGUGUAGCGGUGAAAUGCGCAGAUAUCAGGAAGAACACCAAUGGCGAAGGCAGCUCUCUGGGACGGUACUGACGCUGAGACGCGAAAGCGUGGGUAGCGAACAGGAUUAGAUACCCUGGUAGUCCACGCCGUAAACGAUGGGUGCUAGGUGUGGGAGGUGUCGACUCCUUCCGUGCCGCAGCUAACGCAUUAAGCACCCCGCCUGGGGAGUACGGCCGCAAGGCUAAAACUCAAAGGAAUUGACGG
rnacentral:rRNA from 1 species